CCUUUACAAUGCACGAAAGUGUGAUAAGGGGAUUCCAAGUGCUCAUGUAAAACAUGGGCUUUUGCUAAGAGUAAGCAUCUUAGCGAAUAAGUGGUGGGAAAGACUGGUGCCAGCCGCCGCGGUAACACCAGCGCCACGAGUGGGGACCACGUUUAUUGGGCCUAAAGCGUCCGUAGCUGGUUUGUUAAAUCUUUUGUGAAAUCGUGAGGCUUAACCUUGCGGCUUGCAAGAGACACUGGCAGACUUGGAACCGGGAGGGGCAAGAGGUAUUCCAUGGGUAGCGGUAAAAUGUUAUAAUCCAUGGAGGACCACCUGUGGCGAAGGCGUCUUGCUAGAACGGAUUCGACAGUGAGGGACGAAAGCCAGGGGAGCGAUCCGGGGAUUAGAUACCCGGGGUAGU
rnacentral:rRNA from 1 species